rnacentral:rRNA from 1 species
UACGUAGGGUGCGAGCGUUGCCCGGAUUUAUUGGGCGUAAAGGGCGCGUAGGCGGCCACGCACGUCCGUUGUGAAAGCCCCCGGCUCAACUGGGGAGGGUCAUUCGAUACUGAUCGACUCGAAGGCAGGAGAGGGUAGUGGAAUUCCCGGUGUAGUGGUGAAAUGCGUAGAUAUCGGGAGGAACACCAGUGGCGAAGGCGACUACCUGGCCUGUUCUUGACGCUGAGGCGCGAAAGCUAGGGGAGCAAACGGGG